AGAGUUUGAUCAUGGCUCAGAUUGAACGCUGGCGGCAGGCCUAACACAUGCAAGUCGAACGGUAACAGGAAGCAGCUUGCUGCUUUGCUGACGAGUGGCGGACGGGUGAGUAAUGUCUGGGAAACUGCCUGAUGGAGGGGGAUAACUACUGGAAACGGUGGCUAAUACCGCAUAACGUCGCAAGACCAAAGAGGGGGACCUUCGGGCCUCUUGCCAUCAGAUGUGCCCAGAUGGGAUUAGCUUGUUGGUGAGGUAACGGCUCACCAAGGCGACGAUCCCUAGCUGGUCUGAGAGGAUGACCAGCCACACUGGAACUGAGACACGGUCCAGACUCCUACGGGAGGCAGCAGUGGGGAAUAUUGCACAAUGGGCGCAAGCCUGAUGCAGCCAUGCCGCGUGUAUGAAGAAGGCCUUCGGGUUGUAAAGUACUUUCAGCGGGGAGGAAGGUGUUGUGGUUAAUAACCACAGCAAUUGACGUUACCCGCAGAAGAAGCACCGGCUAACUCCGUGCCAGCAGCCGCGGUAAUACGGAGGGUGCAAGCGUUAAUCGGAAUUACUGGGCGUAAAGCGCACGCAGGCGGUCUGUCAAGUCGGAUGUGAAAUCCCCGGGCUCAACCUGGGAACUGCAUUCGAAACUGGCAGGCUUGAGUCUUGUAGAGGGGGGUAGAAUUCCAGGUGUAGCGGUGAAAUGCGUAGAGAUCUGGAGGAAUACCGGUGGCGAAGGCGGCCCCCUGGACAAAGACUGACGCUCAGGUGCGAAAGCGUGGGGAGCAAACAGGAUUAGAUACCCUGGUAGUCCACGCCGUAAACGAUGUCUACUUGGAGGUUGUGCCCUUGAGGCGUGGCUUCCGGAGCUAACGCGUUAAGUAGACCGCCUGGGGAGUACGGCCGCAAGGUUAAAACUCAAAUGAAUUGACGGGGGCCCGCACAAGCGGUGGAGCAUGUGGUUUAAUUCGAUGCAACGCGAAGAACCUUACCUGGUCUUGACAUCCACGGAAGUUUUCAGAGAUGGAAUGUGCCUUCGGGAACCGUGAGACAGGUGCUGCAUGGCUGUCGUCAGCUCGUGUUGUGAAAUGUUGGGUUAAGUCCCGCAACGAGCGCAACCCUUAUCCUUUGUUGCCAGCGAUUAGGUCGGGAACUCAAAGGAGACUGCCAGUGAUAAACUGGAGGAAGGUGGGGAUGACGUCAAGUCAUCAUGGCCCUUACGACCAGGGCUACACACGUGCUACAAUGGCGCAUACAAAGAGAAGCGACCUCGCGAGAGCAAGCGGACCUCAUAAAGUGCGUCGUAGUCCGGAUUGGAGUCUGCAACUCGACUCCAUGAAGUCGGAAUCGCUAGUAAUCGUGGAUCAGAAUGCCACGGUGAAUACGUUCCCGGGCCUUGUACACACCGCCCGUCACACCAUGGGAGUGGGUUGCAAAAGAAGUAGGUAGCUUAACCUUCGGGAGGGCGCUUACCACUUUGUGAUUCAUGACUGGGGUGAAGUCGUAACAAGGUAACCGUAGGGGAACCUGCGGUUG
rnacentral:rRNA from 2 species